rnacentral:rRNA from 1 species
GACGAACGCUGGCGGCGUGCUUAACACAUGCAAGUCGAGCGGUAAGGCCCUUUCGGGGGUACACGAGCGGCGAACGGGUGAGUAACACGUGGGUGACCUGCCUUUAGCUCUGGGAUAAGCCUGGGAAACCGGGUCUAAUACCGGAUAUGACCCCGCGGCGCAUGUUGUGGGGUGGAAAGCCUUGUGCGGCUGGAGAUGGGCCCGCGGCCUAUCAGCUUGUUGGUGGGGUGAUGGCCUACCAAGGCGACGACGGGUAGCCGGCCUGAGAGGGCGACCGGCCACACUGGGACUGAGACACGGCCCAGACUCCUACGGGAGGCAGCAGUGGGGGAAUCUUGCGCAAUGGGCGAAAGCCUGACGCAGCGACGCCGCGUGAGGGAUGACGGCCUCGG